CGGCAUCAGCUCAAAUUUGAAAUCUGGCUCUUUCAGGGUCCGAGUUGUAAUUUGCAGAGGGCGCUUUGGCGUUGGCAGCGGUCCAAGUUCCUUGGAACAGGACGUCACAGAGGGUGAGAAUCCCGU
rnacentral:rRNA from 1 species